rnacentral:rRNA from 1 species
CUCGGGGUUCGCCCUUGUCACAAACACACCCCUGUGCGCGUUGAAGGCCCGGCUCGUUGAGUGGGUGGGCGACCGCCCAGGAUUCGCAGCCUCGCUUUCUUACACAAACUUCGGAAUGUACAUCAGAAUGUCUUACGCGUGUAACGCAUCGUAAUAUAACUUUCAGCAACGGAUCUCUUGGCUCUCGCAUCGAUGAAGAACGCAGCGAAAUGCGAUAAGUAAUGUGAAUUGCAGAAUUCAGUGAAUCAUCGAAUCUUUGAACGCACCUUGCGCUCCUUGGCAUUCCGAGGAGCAUGCCUGUUUGAGUGUCUUGAAACUCUCAACCCCUGCCAUCUUUGCGGAUGAGCGUCGGUUGGAUUUUGGAGGUUGCCGGACUCGUUCGGCUCCUCUUGAAAGCAUAGUAAAGCUUGGACCUGACCGACCGAGUGGACGUGAUAGAAAGUCACCGUCGACUGAAGGGUCCGUCGUUGAACGGUUCAAGCUUUGUUUCAUCGUCUUCGGACGAACAUCUCUGACCUCUGACCUCAAAUCAGGUAGGACUACCCGCUGAACUUAAGCAUAUC